rnacentral:rRNA from 1 species
CAGUCGCCGCGGUAAUACAGAGGGUGCGAGCGUUAAUCGGAUUUACUGGGCGUAAAGCGUGCGUAGGCGGCUUUUUAAGUCGGAUGUGAAAUCCCUGAGCUUAACUUAGGAAUUGCAUUCGAUACUGGGAAGCUAGAGUAUGGGAGAGGAUGGUAGAAUUCCAGGUGUAGCGGUGAAAUGCGUAGAGAUCUGGAGGAAUACCGAUGGCGAAGGCAGCCAUCUGGCCUAGUACUGACGCUGAGGUACGAAAGCAUGGGGAGCAAACAGGAUUAGAUACCCCUGUAGUCCCUGUCUCUUAUAU